rnacentral:rRNA from 1 species
CAGUAGCCACGGGAAACGGACGGUGCAAGCGUUAUCCGGAUUCACUGAGUUUAAAGGGUGCGUAGGCGGGCAGGUAAGUCAGUGGUGAAAUCUUCGAGCUUAACUCGGAAACUGCCGUUGAUACUAUCUGUCUUGAAUAACGUUGAGGUGAGCGGAAUAUGUCAUGUAGCGGUGAAAUGCCUAGAUAUGACAUAGAACACCGAUUGCGAAGGCAGCUCACUAAACGCUCAUUGACGCUGAGGCACGAAAGCGUGGGGAUCAAACAGGAUUAGAUACCCCGGUAGUCCCUGUCUCUUAUACC